GAUGAACGCUGGCGGCGUGCCUAAUACAUGCAAGUCGAGCGAACAGAUGAGGAGCUUGCUCCUCUGACGUUAGCGGCGGACGGGUGAGUAACACGUGGAUAACCUACCUCUAAGACUGGGAUAACUUCGGGAAACCGGAGCUAAUACCGGAUAAUAUAUUGAACCGCAUGGUUCAAUAGUGAAAGACGGUUUUGCUGUUACUUAUAGAUGGAUCCGCGCCGCAUUAGCUAGUUGGUAAGGUAACGGCUUACCAAGGCGACGAUGCGUAGCCGACCUGAGAGGGUGAUCGGCCACACUGGAACUGAGACACGGUCCAGACUCCUACGGGAGGCAGCAGUAGGGAAUCUUCGGCAAUGGGCGAAAGCCUGACGGAGCAACGCCGCGUGAGUGAUGAAGGUCUUCGGAUCGUAAAACUCUGUUAUUAGGGAAGAACAAAUGUGUAAGUAACUAUGCACGUCUUGACGGUACCUAAUCAGAAAGCCACGGCUAACUACGUG
rnacentral:rRNA from 1 species